CAUUAAGAAGCUUUCACGUAAGCGGCAG
rnacentral:tRNA from 2 species